rnacentral:rRNA from 1 species
UACCAGCACCCCGAGUGGUCGGGACGUUUAUUGGGCCUAAAGCAUCCGUAGCCGGUUCUACAAGUCUUCCGUUAAAUCCAGCUGCUUAACAGAUGGGCUGCGGAAGAUACUAUGGAGCUAGGAGGCGGGAGAGGCAAGCGGUACUCGAUGGGUAGGGGUAAAAUCCGUUGAUCCAUUGAAGACCACCAGUGGCGAAGGCGGCUUGCCAGAACGCGCUCGACGGUGAGGAUGAAAGCUGGGGAGCAAACCGGG